GCUCCCGUAGCUCAAGCGGACAGAGCCGCCGCCUUCUAAGCGGCUGAUCCCGGUUCGAUUCCGGGCGGGAGCGCCA
rnacentral:tRNA from 2 species